GAUGAACGCUGGCGGCGUGCUUAACACAUGCAAGUCGAACGGGAAACCUUUUAUUGAAGCUUCGGCAGAUUUAGCUGGUUUCUAGUGGCGGACGGGUGAGUAACGCGUGGGUAACCUGCCUUAUACAGGGGGAUAACAACCAGAAAUGGUUGCUAAUACCGCAUAAGCGCACAGGACCGCAUGGUCCGGUGUGAAAAACUCCGGUGGUAUAAGAUGGACCCGCGUUGGAUUAGCUAGUUGGCAGGGUAACGGCCUACCAAGGCGACGAUCCAUAGCCGGCCUGAGAGGGUGAACGGCCACAUUGGGACUGAGACACGGCCCAGACUCCUACGGGAGGCAGCAGUGGGGAAUAUUGCACAAUGGGGGAAACCCUGAUGCAGCGACGCCGCGUGAAGGAAGAAGUAUCUCGGUAUGUAAACUUCUAUCAGCAGGAAAGAUAGUGACGGUACCUGACUAAGAAGCCCCGGCUAACUACGUG
rnacentral:rRNA from 1 species